rnacentral:rRNA from 1 species
CAGUCGCCGCGGUAAUACGAAGGGGGCUAGCGUUGUUCGGAAUUACUGGGCGUAAGGCGCACGUAGGCGGAUAUUUAAGUCAGGGGUGAAAUCCCAGAGCUCAACUCUGGAACUGCCUUUGAUACUGGGUAUCUUGAGUUCGAGAGAGGUAAGUGGAACUGCGAGUGUAGAGGUGAAAUUCGUAGAUAUUCGCAAGAACACCAGUGGCGAAGGCGGCUUACUGGCUCGAAACUGACGCUGAGGCGCGAAAGCGUGGGGAGCAAACAGGAUUAGAUACCCGCGUAGUCCCUGUCUCUUAUAC